rnacentral:rRNA from 1 species
GCGGCGUACGGGUGCGGAACACGUGUGCAACCGCUUUAUCUGGGGGAUAGCCUUUCGAAAGGAAGAUUAAUACCCCAUAAUAUGUUGAAUGGCAUCAUUCGACAUUGAAAACUCCGGUGGAUAGAGAUGGGCACGCGCAAGAUUAGAUAGUUGGUGAGGUAACGGCUCACCAAGUCUACGAUCUUUAGGGGGCCUGAGAGGGUGAUCCCCCACACUGGUACUGAGACACGGACCAGACUCCUACGGGAGGCAGCAGUGAGGAAUAUUGGACAAUGGGUGAGAGCCUGAUCCAGCCAUCCCGCGUGAAGGACGACUGCCCUAUGGGUUGUAAACUUCUUUUGUAUAGGGAUAAACCUACCCUCGUGAGGGUAGCUGGAAGGUACUAUACGAAUAAGGCACCGGUAACUCCGUGCCAAGCAGCCGGGGUAAUACGGGAAGGGGUGCAAGGCGGUUAAUCCCGGGAAUUUCAAUUGGGGGGUUUUAAAAGGGGGGUCCCGGAAAGGGCGGGAAUCCUGGGAAAGGUUCCAAGGGGGUGGGAAAAAUUCUNCCACAAGGGUUUUUAAAACUUUGGGGGAAAAUUGGGGCCUUAUUGGAAAAAUU